ACUAGAGAAAUUUUUUAAUAGAGAAAUCUGACAAGGGUCUUAAAAUGAAUGCUACUCUGGGCACCUGCAUAUUCCUACAAGUUCUCAAAGUCCUGUGGUCAAUGACUGUGGAGACAAACUAUGCAGGAAACAAGU
rnacentral:snoRNA from 1 species